UACAGAGGGGGCAAGCGUUGUUCGGAAUUACUGGGCGUAAAGGGCGCGUAGGCGGCCUGUUAAGUCGAACGUGAAAUCCCUAGGCUCAACCUAGGAACUGCGUCCGAUACUGGCAGGCUUGAAUCCGGGAGAGGGAUGCGGAAUUCCAGGUGUAGCGGUGAAAUGCGUAGAUAUCAGGAGGAACACCGAUGGCGAAGGCAGGCCCCCUGGGCUAACGACUGACGCUCAUGCACGAAAGCGUGGGGAGCAAACAGG
rnacentral:rRNA from 1 species